rnacentral:rRNA from 1 species
UACGGAGGGGGCUAGCGUUAUUCGGAAUUACUGGGCGUAAAGCGCACGUAGGCGGCUUUGUAAGUAAGAGGUGAAAGCCCGGAGCUCAACUCCGGAACUGCCUUUUAGACUGCAUCGCUUGAAUCCAGGAGAGGUGAGUGGAAUUCCGAGUGUAGAGGUGAAAUUCGUAGAUAUUCGGAAGAACACCAGUGGCGAAGGCGACUCACUGGCUCGACACUGACGCUGAGGUGCGAAAGCGUGGGGAGCAAACAGG